UUACCGGUUUGACAUGAACGAAAGUAAUUUAUUCACAGGUGAUGCAUGGCUGUCGUCAGCUCGUGUCGUGAGAUGUUAGGUUAAGUCCUGCAACGAGCGCAACCCUAUAUUAGUUGCCAGCAUAUGGGACUCUAAUAGACUGCCCGGAAUAACGGGAGGAAGGUGGGGAUGAUGUCAAGUCAGUAUGUCCCUUAUACCGGGCUACACACGUGUUACAAUGGGGUACAAAAGGCACCGCGAGGGGAGCAAUCUUAAACUUCCCCAGUUCAGAUUGAAGUCUGAAAUUCAACUUCAUGAAGCAGGAAUCGCUAGUAAUCGUAGUCAGACAUACGGUGAAUACGUUCCCGGGUCUUGUACACACCGCCCGUCAAGUCAUGGAAGUCUGAGACCAAA
rnacentral:rRNA from 1 species